GAUGAACGCUGGCGGCGUGCCUAAUACAUGCAAGUCGAGCGAACGGACGAGAAGCUUGCUUCUCUGAUGUUAGCGGCGGACGGGUGAGUAACACGUGGAUAACCUACCUAUAAGACUGGGAUAACUUCGGGAAACCGGAGCUAAUACCGGAUAAUAUUUUGAACCGCAUGGUUCAAUAGUGAAAGACGGUCUUGCUGUCACUUAUAGAUGGAUCCGCGCUGCAUUAGCUAGUUGGUAAGGUAACGGCUUACCAAGGCAACGAUGCAUAGCCGACCUGAGAGGGUGACCGGCAACGCUGAACAUAGGAAAGGGUCAAGACUCCUAGGGGAGGCAGAAGUAGGAAAUCUUCGGCAAUGGGGGAAAGCCUGACGAAGAAACGCGGCGGGAGGAAGAAGGUCUUCGGAUCGUAAAACUCUGUUAUUAGGGAAGAACAUAUGUGUAAGUAACUGUGCACAUCUUGACGGUACCUAAUCAGAAAGCCACGGCUAACUACGUG
rnacentral:rRNA from 1 species